GCCAGGAAUGGUGGCCCAUGCCUGUCAUCCCAGCAGCUUGGGAGGCUGAGGCAGGAGGAUCGAGUUCAAAGCCAGCCUCAGCAACUUAGCAAGGCUCUAAGCACCUCAGUGAGACCCUGUCUCUA
rnacentral:sRNA from 1 species